rnacentral:piRNA from 1 species
UGAUGUUGUAGUUCACGGUGACGUUGC